GCAAAGCAAGACCUUCUUUCUGAGCAAAACAAAGAGCUAGCAACUUUCAGAAGAGCGCGUGAUCAUUCAGAAGCUGAAAGAGCUCAGCAUAUGAAACAAAUACAUGAUCUUCAAGAA